rnacentral:rRNA from 1 species
UACGUAGGGUCCAAGCGUUAUCCGGAAUCACUGGGCGUAAAGCGUGCGUAGGUGGAUGUUUAAGUGAGUUGUUAAAUCGUGGGCUGCACCAUCGUCGAUGCAAUUCAUACUGGACGUCUAGAGGACAGCAGAGGCAAGUGGAAUUGGUAGUGUAGCAAGUGAAAUGCGUAGAUAUUACCAGGAACACCAAUGGCGAAGGCAGCUUGCUGGGCUACUCCUGACACUGAGGUACGAAAGCGUGGGGAGCGAACAGG